rnacentral:rRNA from 1 species
CAGUCGCCGCGGGAAUACGAAGGGUGCAAGCGUUAAUCGGAAUUACUGGGCGUAAAGCGCGCGUAGGUGGUUUGGUAAGAUGGAUGUGAAAUCCCCGGGCUCAACCUGGGAACUGCAUCCAUAACUGCCUGACUAGAGUACGGUAGAGGGUGGUGGAAUUUCCUGUGUAGCGGUGAAAUGCGUAGAUAUAGGAAGGAACACCAGUGGCGAAGGCGACCACCUGGACUGAUACUGACACUGAGGUGCGAAAGCGUGGGGAGCAAACAGGAUUAGAUACUCCAGUAGUCCCUGUCUCUUAUAC